GACGAACGCUGGCGGCGUGCCUAAUACAUGCAAGUCGAACGCAGUGGGGACGGGUGAGUAACAAGUGGGUAACCUCCCAUCAGAGGGGAUAACAAGUGGAAACAGGUGCUAAACAGACACUGAAGGAUGGACCAGCGGUGCAUUAGCUAGUGGGUGAUGUAACGGCUCACCAAGGCCACGAUGCAUAGCCGACCUGAGAGGGUGAUCGGCCACACUGGUACUGAGACACGGCCCAGACUCCUACGGGAGGCAGCAGUAGGGAAUCUUCGGCAAUGGACGAAAGUCUGACCGAGCAACGCCGCGUGAGUGAAGAAGGUUUUCGGUUCUUAAAACUCUGUUGUUAGAGAAGCGGUAUCUAACCAGAAAGCCACGGCUAACUACGUGCCAGCAGCCGCGGUAAUUC
rnacentral:rRNA from 1 species